GUGCCCGGUGCGCCCACUCAAGCCAUUGCACAUUGCCUAUCUUAUCUUCACUUGUUCAUCAGUGGCUGGCUCUUUCCAGGAGCCAAACAAAACCAAACAGCAUAAUCUAGCAACUUGCAGUUAAAUAGCCCGCAGGAUUAGGCUUCGAGCAGAAACGGCAGCCGCUGGAUUUGCCGCUCGGGUCAUCGAGCAAGAAGGGAUCGCUCGGAGCCUUGCACUUGCAGGAGCCACACUUGGUGGAUGCUACCGGAGGAGCACUGGUAGCUGCAGGCCACAAAAGCGCAAAGCGACGCCGGGGACUUGGCAUUGGUCCCGAGUCCUGACAUCCUGACGUGGUGGUGGCAACUGUGGUUCAAGGCAUCUGGACGAGGUGAAACUUGAAAGCCUCGUCCGCUUUCUGAAAGUGGCAUGCGUUUCUUCUCUUGUGUCUUGUGUGCAUUGCAUGCAGAUGCAGAUGCGUUGGUUGAUGGCUUGACGCGGGCAGGCAGUCACUGGGGCAGUGGCCAGCUGGAGCGUGGAGCCUGUAUAUUCAUGGGACAAGUGGCUACACUGUACAUUUAUUUAUCUCACGCAUAACAAUCGUGUGUGCAAUUUAUAAGCAACGAAUGUCCUAUAGUACAAUAGGG
rnacentral:lncRNA from 1 species